UGACGGAUAUUUUUCCCGAAUGAAGUC
rnacentral:piRNA from 1 species